rnacentral:rRNA from 1 species
CGCUGGCGGCGCGCCUAACACAUGCAAGUCGAACGAGAGAUGAGGAGCUUGCUCUUCAGAUCGAGUGGCGAACGGGUGAGUAACGCGUGAGGAACCUGCCUCAAAGAGGGGGACAACAGUUGGAAACGACUGCUAAUACCGCAUAAGCCCACGACCCGGCAUCGGGUAGAGGGAAAAGGAGCAAUCCGCUUUGAGAUGGCCUCGCGUCCGAUUAGCUAGUUGGUGAGGUAAUGGCCCACCAAGGCGACGAUCGGUAGCCGGACUGAGAGGUUGAACGGCCACAUUGGGACUGAGACACGGCCCAGACUCCUACGGGAGGCAGCAGUGGGGAAUAUUGCACAAUGGGGGAAACCCUGAUGCAGCGACGCCGCGUGGAGGAAGAAGGUCUUCGGAUUGUAAACUCCUGUUGUUGAGGAAGAUAAUGACGGUACUCAACAAGGAAGUGACGGCUAACUACGUG